AACCUAGCACACCUGCGGUGUGUACCUGCGGAAGGAUCAUUACCUAGAGUUGUAGGCUUUGCCUGCUAUCUCUUACCCAUGUCUUUUGAGUACCUUACGUUUCCUCGGUGGGCUCGCCCACCGAUUGGACAAAUUUAAACCCUUUGCAGUUGAAGUCAGCGUCUGAAAAAACUUAAUAGUUACAACUUUCAACAACGGAUCU
rnacentral:misc_RNA from 1 species